GACGAACGCUGGCGGCGUGCUUAACACAUGCAAGUCGAACGGAAAGGCCCUGCUUUUGUGGGGUGCUCGAGUGGCGAACGGGUGAGUAACACGUGAGUAACCUGCCCUUGACUUUGGGAUAACUUCAGGAAACUGGGGCUAAUACCGGAUAGGAGCUCCUGCUGCAUGGUGGGGGUUGGAAAGUUUCGGCGGUUGGGGAUGGACUCGCGGCUUAUCAGCUUGUUGGUGGGGUAGUGGCUUACCAAGGCUUUGACGGGUAGCCGGCCUGGGAGGGUGACCGGCCCCAUUGGGACUGAGAUACGGCCCAGACUCCUACGGUAGGCAGCAGUGGGGAAUAUUGCACAAUGGGCGGAAGCCUGAUGCAGCAACGCCGCGUGCGGGAUGACGGCCUUCGGGUUGUAAACCGCUUUCGCCUGUGACGAAGCGUGAGUGACGGUAAUGGGUAAAGAAGCACCGGCUAACUACGUG
rnacentral:rRNA from 1 species